AGUGCUAUAGUCCAGUUGGUAGGACGCCGCCCUGUCACGGCGGAGGUCACGGGUUCGAGCCCCGUUAGCACUGCCA
rnacentral:tRNA from 1 species